rnacentral:rRNA from 1 species
CAUAGCGACUAUCGUGGCAUAUCAAUAAGCGGAGGAAAAGAAACUAACAAGGAUUCCCUUAGUAACGGCGAGUGAAGCGGGAAGAGCUCAAAUUUGAAAUCUUCAAGGUUUUACCUUGACGAAUUGUAGUUUAAAGAAGUGUUUUCUGUUGGAGUUUUGGUAAAAGUUCUUUGGAAUAGGACAUCAUAGAGGGUGAGAAUCCCGUAUUUGACCAUUAUUUCCAGCUGUGUGAUACACUUUCAAAGAGUCGGAUUGUUUGGGAAUGCAGUCCAAAAUGGGUGGUAAAUUUCAUCUAAAGCUAAAUAUUGGCGAGAGACCGAUAGCGAACAAGUACCGUGAGGGAAAGAUGAAAAGAACUUUGAAAAGAGAGUUAAACAGUACGUGAAAUUGUCAAAAGGGAAGCGUUUGACACCAGUGUUGUUUAGUUGAAAAUCAAUUCAAUAGUUUUUGAUUCUAAGUAGUAUUGACUUCAUCAGCUUGCUGCUUUCUUCUCAGAAAUUAUUGAAUGCACUUUUCAGUUAACAAGUCAACAUCAAUUUCUUUUGUUGUAAAAGGGUAAGAGGAAGGUGGCUUGCGCUUCGGCUCAAGUGUUUAUAGCCUUUUAUCUCUGCAAUCGGAGAGAUUGAGGUCUGCAGCGUAGAUCCUUCGGGGUUAGAUACAUUGGUGCUAAGCUAUAGCCUUGUAUAGACAACUUGUUGACUAUGCUCAGUCAUGUAGCUUACUCGCUGAUGCUAUUUUACCUACGCUUAGGAUGUUGAUAGUCACAGCGUGUAC